rnacentral:rRNA from 1 species
UACGUAGGGUGCAAGCGUUGUCCGGAAUUAUUGGGCGUAAAGAGCUCGUAGGCGGUUUGUCGCGUCUGCUGUGAAAUCCCGAGGCUCAACCUCGGGCCUGCAGUGGGUACGGGCAGACUAGAGUGCGGUAGGGGAGAUUGGAACUCCUGGUGUAGCGGUGGAAUGCGCAGAUAUCAGGAAGAACACCGGUGGCGAAGGCGGGUCUCUGGGCCGAUAUUGACGCUGAGGAGCGAAAGCGUGGGGAGCAAACAGG